UGCGCGCACGGGAAGGGCUGCUCCGUGCUAGCCUCAAGGCGGGCCCGUGGACCACGAGCACCUUGAGCGGCUUGGGGCGUUGCUGCUCAGUGGCCAGGGAGCCCGCAUGGGCUGCCCUACCCGGAGCUGCCGGCAGCAGGGCACCGGCUUCCCGUGGUUUGGGGUGGCAGGACGUGGAAAUUUCCCGACAGAGGUGUAGAACAGUUUCCACCUCUCCAUUCCACUGGCUGAAACCCACUACUGUAGAGGCAAGGAGGAAGGAAAUCCCACACUGGAGCUGCUCUGAUCUCCUCUCUCUGUGCCAAGCACACUCUGUAGGAGGACAAGUCGAUGCCAGCUGCAUGUCUAAGCUAUAGCCAUCAUUCUAUUGUAUUUCCAACAGAGCAGCAAACACAUGGAGAGAUGGAAAUGGGUGCUGUAAUCCCUGUGACUGCCAGAGCUCAUCCUGCUGCUCACCAACCACACUUUUCUUGGGGCUGGGAACUUGCAGCCACUCAAGUCCUUCUUCUGGGAAAAAGAUCCCAUAAAGUGCUUCCCAACACUAGAAGAAUGCAAACGGGAUUUGAAGAAGAUGGUUCUCAUUUGAUUAUACUUCUAAGCAACAUCUUCUGGUCUUUUGCACAAGGUAUCAGAAGAAAUUUCUAGACCUGCUGGGAUCAGGAUUGAGGCAGAUCCACCUUGGUGGCUUUCCUCAGGCAGUCAAAAAGGCAAAGACAGGCUGCAACCAGGCCUGAAUGGACCCAUUCUCCUCAGCCAGCUGUGAACACUUAAGCUAAAUUUAAUUACUGGAUACAGGCAAAGCUCAUCUCAGCCUCUGUACAGCAAACCCUGUGAUGGUAGUGGGGCUUCAAUGGACAAAACUGGCGUGAAACUGAUGCAGUCUUCCUGACAGGCCUGAUGGGUUUCAUUCUGCCUCUCUCUC